rnacentral:rRNA from 1 species
GACGAACGCUGGCGGCGUGCUUAACACAUGCAAGUCGAACGGAAAGGCCCUGCUUUUGUGGGGUGCUCGAGUGGCGAACGGGUGAGUAACACGUGAGUAACCUGCCCUUGACUUUGGGAUAACUUCAGGAAACUGGGGCUAAUACCGGAUAGGAGCUCCUGCUGCAUGGUGGUGGUUGGAAAGUUUCGGCGGUUGGGGAUGGACUCGCGGCUUAUCAGCUUGUUGGUGGGGUAGUGGCUUACCAAGGCUUUGACGGGUAGCCGGCCUGAGAGGGUGACCGGCCACAUUGGGACUGAGAUACGGACCAGACUCCUACGGGAGGCAGCAGUGGGGAAUAUUGCACAAUGGGCGGAAGCCUGAUGCAGCAACGCCGCGUGCGGGAUGACGGCUUUCGGGUUGUAAACCGCUUUCGCCUGUGACGAAGCGUGAGUGACGGUAAUGGGUAAAGAAGCAACGGCUAACUACGUG